rnacentral:lncRNA from 1 species
CAACCUCAGGAUUAUCUGCGUGAUGCUGGUUUUUACUUUCUGGCACACAAGAGUUGUGGAGUUAGGGAGGCUUCCACCUAGAUUUCACAGGCAGGGCUGAAGGGCCAGGCAAGGAGCCCCCGAGAAGGCAGUGUAUGAAGCCAAAGGUACAGCAGACACUAGAAUACCAGAGAUUUCAGGAAUGUGGAGUGUCUUCCAAGGAAAGCUGCAGGCCAUGAGUGGACCCCAGCCCGAGAGAGGCCGUGUGGGCUGCAACAAGGAAGCCCUUAGGGGCAGCUACACAAGACUAUGAACUAUCUUGCCACACUAAGCACCCCAGAUGUCAGUUCUAUGCUCAGGAUACCAGGAACCUGGAAACCCCACGAGACCCUCUAUUUGAAAAACUCGGCAGCAACUUAUUCCCUGAGAGCACCGGCCUUUCAGAAGAAUUAUCUUUAAGACUGCCUGAGCCAGACCACCUGUUUGCUCAAAAUAGGAGGGCCCAGACUAAUGAGAGCAAGAGACCUUCGAGUAGUCACCAGAAAAGGAACGAGAAGUCACUGCCGGCCAGGAACUUGAGGUCUGCAGAUCACCAAUAGCAACAAAUGAGGCAGAGAUUUCAUGGCCAGACUGUGUCCAGCUGUGGCUUCCCACCCCCAGCAGCAGCCUAAUUGGAAAACAAGGUUCAGCCUCCUUUAAAGCAAGGAUUUAUAAGUAUCCUCCGUGUUCUCUCAUUGAGGUGCCCAUAAAUGCUCAGGCUCUCAGGGCUCUCUUCUGGAAAUUGUGAUUCAGGUCUCGGGGAUGGCCUGGCAAUCUGUGGUUUUAAUAAAC